rnacentral:rRNA from 1 species
AUGCCCCUGCUCACCAGGAGACUGGGGAAGACAGGCGCAGAUACGCCCCUGCUCACCAGGAGCCUGAGGACGACAGGCGCAGAUACACGUCCCCCCACCAGCACCAUCUCUCGCCGCCGCCCAGCCCGCGCAAGAAGCAGCGGUGCACCUUACAUGACCGGGUCGACAUCGAGAGCACCUCCAGCUCUGGCCCGCCGCCUUCACGCCAUCAGAGGCAGCAGCCCCAUGCCAGCUACGCCGCGGUUGACAGCUUUGUAG